rnacentral:rRNA from 1 species
UACGUAGGUGGCAAGCGAUACUCGGAAUCACUAGGUGUAAAGCGCAGGUAGGAGGUUGGGAUAAGUCUGAUUGUGAAAGCUCCCGGCUUAACUGGGAGAGGCCACGGAAACUAUUCGGCGUGGAGUGCGGUAGAGGUAGCUGGAAUUCCCGGUGUAGCGGUGAAAUGCGUAGAUAGUCGGGAGGAAUGACCUAUGGCGAAAGCAGGCUCUGGACGUCACUGACUCUGGAUCUGACGAAAGCUAGGGGAGCAAACAGG